GGACAAGCACUGUGCGGCUAGAUGCCGUGAACCAUGUCAGGCGGGGAACCGAGCAGCAUUAAGUGGAUUUUCUAUGCGCGAUUCAGCUUAGUUUGU
rnacentral:SRP_RNA from 1 species